GAAAUGCGAUACGUAAUGCGAAUUGCAGAAUUCAGUGAAUCAUCAAAUUUUUGAACGCAACUGGCGCUUUCGGGUUAGUCCUGAAAGCACGUUUCUCUGAGUAUCGGUUCUACCUCACCUCGACCGCGUCCUGUCAUGGGAUACAGUCGGUUAUUGAGUGUCAUGAAGACCCGAAACUUUUCAUGUCACUUCAAGAGCAAAGCGUGUCACCUCAUGUUUUGUGAAUUGCCUUUACGGGCAACUGUGCGUCCAGUGAAUGGUCCGCCUGACAACUGGGUGACGUGGGAUAAAUUCACCUUUGUGUGAAUAAAAACUUUCUCCGUCGUUUUACCGGUAUCAGGUUUGGUUGUUUCGAAAGCUGGAUAUCAUGGUAAAGCAAAACUGUGUUGUGUGACUUCGU
rnacentral:misc_RNA from 1 species